rnacentral:rRNA from 1 species
CCUACGGGUGGCAGCAGUGGGGCAUAUUGCACAAUGGGCGCAAGCCUGAUGCAGCGACGCCGCGUGCGGGAUGGAGGCCUUCGGGUUGUAAACCGCUUUAGUUCAAGGGCAAGGCACGGUCUUUGGCCGUGUGGAGUGGAAUGUUCGAAUAAGCAACGGCUGACUACGUGCAAGCAGCCGCGGUAAUACGUAGGGUGGAAGGGUUAUCCGGAUUUAGUGGACGGAAAGGGCUCGGAGGCGGUUCGGAGCGUCCGGGGUGAAAGUCAAUCGCGUAACGGUGGGUCCGCGCCGGGUACUGGCGGGCUUGAGUGCGGUAGGGGAGACUGGAAUUCUCGGUGUAACGGUGGAAUGUGUAGAUAUCGGGAAGAAAACCAAUGGCGAAGGCAGGUCUCUGGGCCGUUACUGACGCUGAGGAGCGAAAGCGUGGGGAGCGAACAGGAUUAGAUACCCUGUAGUC